rnacentral:lncRNA from 1 species
UUUUACACAACCAAAUAAUUAAACUUUUCUCCUUUUUCCAUGGAGAAUGCCAACGAUACAUUUUCUUUCCCUUUUCCUUUUGGACUCGCUUGAGUUGCUUCUAAAUAUGCCUAUGAGUAUGAGUGGCUUGUGUCAAUCCCUCGCAGAUUUCAGUUCGGUGAAGUUGACAGAUAUUGGUGGAGCAGAAGUUACGAAAACGAUGUUACAGAAGUAGGUUAGGGCAUGGAUGAGAGAUGAAGGUGUGUUGCAGUAAAGUGUUUGACAGGAGUGGUGGUGGAGAUUGGUGAAGUGAAGAUGUGCAACCAAAUGGGGUCACUCUUACUUAAGGUUCAUUAAUCCACAGCUUUGUAAGGCAGCUGAAGAAGUAGAUCUUGCUUUAAUGUGCAUCAGCAUGUUAGUUAAAUUGAGAAACCCAUGUUAGUGGUAGUGCAUGAGAUUGGUAAGUUUUGGUGGUCUUGUUUUCAUCUAUAAAUGAAAGAGGAAAAAAAUAUUUUGGUUUUCUUUGUUAGAUUUUGAAAAUUUGUUUAUUAUAGGUUGCAGCUUGCAUGCAUGUGAGUGAGGGUGCUUAGAGAGAGGAAUGAUUCAGUUUGCCACACCUGCACCUUUGUCUUCUUGCGCAGCCUAUUACAAUUCUGCAUGAUGUCAGCUACAGCGCCUAACAGGCUGCAUUAAAUCAUAUUCUUGCUCCAACUCCAAACACAAACCACAUCUUUUGUAUAUCAUGAUCCAAG